CACAUGCAAGUCGAGCGGCAGCGGAAAGUAGCUUGCUACUUUGCCGGCGAGCGGCGGACGGGUGAGUAAUGUCUGGGGAUCUGCCUGAUGGAGGGGGAUAACUACUGGAAACGGUAGCUAAUACCGCAUGACCUCGAAAGAGCAAAGUGGGGGACCUUCGGGCCUCACGCCAUCGGAUGAACCCAGAUGGGAUUAGCUAGUAGGUGGGGUAAUGGCUCACCUAGGCGACGAUCCCUAGCUGGUCUGAGAGGAUGACCAGCCACACUGGAACUGAGACACGGUCCAGACUCCUACGGGAGGCAGCAGUGGGGAAUAUUGCACAAUGGGCGCAAGCCUGAUGCAGCCAUGCCGCGUGUGUGAAGAAGGCCAUCGGGUUGUAAAGCACUUUCAGCGAGGAGGAAGGCAUUGUGGUUAAUAACCGCAGUGAKUGACGUUACU
rnacentral:rRNA from 1 species